AACGAACGCUGGCGGCAUGCCUAACACAUGCAAGUCGAACGAGACCUUCGGGUCUAGUGGCGCACGGGUGCGUAACGCGUGGGAACCUGCCCUUAUGUUCGGAAUAACUCCCCGAAAGGGGUGCUAAUACCGGAUAAUGUCUUCGGACCAAAGAUUUAUCGCCUUUGGAUGGGCCCGCGUUGGAUUAGCUAGUUGGUAGGGUAAAAGCCUACCAAGGCGACGAUCCAUAGCUGGUCUGAGAGGAUGAUCAGCCACACUGGGACUGAGACACGGCCCAGACUCCUACGGGAGGCAGCAGUGGGGAAUAUUGGACAAUGGGCGAAAGCCUGAUCCAGCAAUGCCGCGUGAGUGAUGAAGGCCUUAGGGUUGUAAAGCUCUUUUAACCGGGAUGAUAAUGACAGUACCGGGAGAAUAAGCGCCGGCUAACUACGUG
rnacentral:rRNA from 1 species